ACAGUCACACAUUAGAUACCCGUAGUCCCAGCCGUAAACUAUGCGCGUUAGGUGUAUCGGUGACCACGAGUCACCGAGGUGCCGGAAAGGGAAACCGUGAAACGUGCCGCCGUGGGAAGUACGGUCGCAAGGCUAGAAACUUAAAGGAAUUGGCGGGGGAGCACCACAACGGGUGGAGCCUGCGGUUUAAUUGGACUCAACGCCGGGAAGCUCACCGGAUAAGACAGCGGAAUGAUUGCCGGGCUGAAGACCCUGCAUGACUAGCUG
rnacentral:rRNA from 1 species